CAAAGGUUUCAGUGAACAUUCAACGCUGUCGGUGAGUUUUCUCAAUAAGGUUAAACCAUCGACCGUUGAGUGUACCCUGCGGCCGGAUU
rnacentral:pre_miRNA from 2 species